rnacentral:lncRNA from 1 species
UAGAUCUCCUGCUGCCAGGAACUAACCUCCUGGGAGACAGGUCUUAUCGUCAUCCAGGCAUAUAGGAGGGUGUUGGGAAAACACUUGUAGUGGAUGCUGGAUUGUGCCAUUCAGAGCCAGCUCCCUUUGCUAUUGAAGAACUUAUUUCCCUACAUGUCAGGACUUCUGCUGGCUGAUGGCCCCCAGCUGUGAGCUCUUUCAGGCAUCACCUUUGGCUGCAAAAGGCUCCCUCUCCUGAAGUUACUACCUGCAUCCCUGGAGGCAGACUUCAUCUCAUGUCUUCAUCCAAAGUUUGAACAAAUUGGCUAAGAAGGUGCUAGACAUGUAAAGGGACUAUUUUUUUUCUUAAUUCAAAUGUAGGAGGAGUAUGGAUCUCCAGGAACCAGAAGAGCUGCAUACAUAUGCCCAACAAUUCAGCGACAGCACCAUCAGCCCAGAUGGGGGUUGUGAGCAAAGUCCGAGAUGGUCAGAAGGAAACGAGAACCUGGGAGGUGGCGAGUGUCCACUGCUCUAGUCUCAGGACAGCCUGCUCUGUUAAAGCACCUGGUCCUUCUUCCUGAAGACUUCAGUCCCACCUUGCAUUAUGUUUUGUUCUGUGUAUGUGCGUGUCUAUCUCUCCUGCUAACUGCUGAGCUUGCUAAGGAAAGGAACCUUGUUUUAUGAAAUAAA